rnacentral:lncRNA from 1 species
UGGAGUGGUGUCCAUUGUCGCAACUUGUCAAAGAGUGGUGGGGUCACAUGGAAUCUAUUACAGAAAGUGGAGUGGGGUAGUGGCCAUUAUCGUGACUUGCCAGAGAGUUCGGGCCUAACGGCUGAAGCUUGGUUGGGAUGUCUGAUGAAGUGGAAUGGCUCUCUGUCUCUGCAAUCUAAGAGAAGUUCGGAUGUUUUCGCAGUUGCUGACGAGUCCACUGUUGUCGAGAGCCUUGGGUGCUGAUGUUGCAAGCGGAAGUCAUCUGCUG